AUAUGCCCGAACUAUAAGUGUGUUCCCAAUCAAGUUUUACUUGCCAGUAAAAGUUUGUAUGUACCUGCCAAAGCUAAGCUCAAAUAAUAUGACUUUGGAGUUUUCUUGGACUUGAAACUAAAGAGUAUUGAGAACACAAGGUUACUCAUGUUCCUCAUGGAUAGACUGGACCCCGAUACGCUCACCUUGCACUUUUCUGAUAAUAAGCAAUUGAAAAUCACUACACACUCCAUCCAAUGUGUUCUUGGGUUGCCAAAUAGGGGCACAAACGUAGUUGUACCCGAUAAGCAAAUCCAAAAAGCAGCAUUAUGCAAACUGAAGCAGAAGCUUUGCAUCGAUCAAGGUGUAGAUGUCAAGGUGCAAGAUUUGAUUGCCCAAAUUGCCAAAGAUAAAGAGGGUGAUGAUUUCGCAAUCAGGUGCUUCCUAAUGAUUCUCUUGAACAAGAUGCUUUUGCCGGGCAAUACUGAUUACAUCACAGGAAAGGAGUCCACAAUAACCGAGGACAUCACAAUUUUGCGCUCCAUAAAUUGGCCAAAAUUAAUUUUUGAUGACAUUUCCCAUGCCUCUAAAUCGUGGCACUCAAAGAAGACCGGUGCCACUAGCCCCUCUAUUCAUGGUUGUGUGUUGUUCCUAAUUGUGAGUAUCAAAGCAUUUUUCUUCAUACUAAACCAUCAAUCCAGUUUACUCCAUGGAUACCCCUUACUAUUGGAGUUAUGA
rnacentral:rRNA from 1 species